GCAGUCGAGCGGUAAGGCCCUUCGGGGUACACGAGCGGCGAACGGGUGAGUAACACGUGAGCAACCUGCCCCUGACUCUGGGAUAAGCGGUGGAAACGCCGUCUAAUACCGGAUACGACCCGCCACCUCAUGGUGGAGGGUGGAAAGUUUUUCGGUCAGGGAUGGGCUCGCGGCCUAUCAGCUUGUUGGUGGGGUAACGGCCUACCAAGGCGAUUACGGGUAGCCGGCCUGAGAGGGCGACCGGCCACACUGGGACUGAGACACGGCCCAGACUCCUGCGGGAGGCAGCAGUGGGGAAUAUUGCGCAAUGGGCGAAAGCCUGACGCAGCGACGCCGCGUGGGGGAUGACGGCCUUCGGGUUGUAAACCUCUUUUACCACCAACGCAGGCUUCCAGUUCUCUGGAGGUUGACGGUAGGUGGGGAAUAAGGACCGGCUAACUACGUGCCAGCAGCCGCGGUAAUACGUAGGGUCCGAGCGUUGUCCGGAAUUAUUGGGCGUAAAGAGCUCGUAGGCGGCGUGUCGCGUCUGCUGUGAAAGACCGGGGCUUAACUCCGGUUCUGCAGUGGAUACGGGCAUGCUAGAGGUAGGUAGGGGAGACUGGAAUUCCUGGUGUAGCGGUGAAAUGCGCAGAUAUCAGGAGGAACACCGGUGGCGAAGGCGGGUCUCUGGGCCUUACCUGACGCUGAGGAGCGAAAGCAUGGGGAGCGAACAGGAUUAGAUACCCUGGGUAGUCCAUGCCGUAAACGUUGGGCGCUAGGUGUGGGGACUUUCCACGGUUUCCGCGCCGUAGCUAACGCAUUAAGCGCCCCGCCUGGGGAGUACGGCCGCAAGGCUAAAACUCAAAGGAAUUGACGGGGGCCCGCACAA
rnacentral:rRNA from 1 species